CGACAGCUUGGUGGCGUUGAGGAACCCCAUGCGGUUGGCGGCGACGCCGGUGGUCUGGAAUAGGGUGGUGAACAGGGUGGACCGGCGCUUGAGGUUGUGGAUCUUCUCUUUGUCGUAGUAGUCGAGGAUGACGUGGAUGGAGAGGACCUGCUUGAGCGUGUCGGAGUCGAGGCUGGAGAGGGAGGAGGCCGCGGAGUUGUCGACCGCGAGGACGGUGAUGGUCUGGCGGCGGUUGACCUCAGAGGCGAUGUCGGCCUGGCUGAGGAGAGAGUUGAAGUUGGAGAAGUCGGGGAAUUGGGAGAGGAGGCGGGUGAUGUUGUGGGCGGUGGCGGAGGAGAGCAGGACGAGGAAGGAGACGAAGACGAGGAGGAGGGAGAGUUGGGGGCUCGAAGCCAUUGUGGGAGGAGGAGGAGGAGGAGGAGUAUUUGGGUG
rnacentral:lncRNA from 1 species